CCUUUACUUUAACAUGGAGGCGCUUGCUUGUCUUGGCAAGAGUAAGUGCUUCCAUGUUUCAGUGUGG
rnacentral:pre_miRNA from 1 species